rnacentral:tRNA from 1 species
GCAUCGAUGGUUCAGUGGUAAAAUGCUCGCCUGCCACGCGGGCGCCCGGGUUCGAUUCCCGGCCGAUGCA